ACCCAGAUGAAGAGUCCUAAAUAGGACGAAAUUCGCUUCUUGGAU
rfam:Schistosoma mansoni strain Puerto Rico chromosome 4, complete genome